AAGGACUGGCCAUCUAGGGUUUGGAUGAGCUGUUGCCACAACACCACCAGGCACUUCAGCCCCUCUUUCUUCCUGGGAACCUUAAACAGGUGGAUGCAGACUUCGUGGUGGAGGCACUGGCUCCUCAGUACAGUGACAAUGGAUCAGUAAGACACAGAGGAAGUGGACAUGAUCAACUUUUUGCAGGACCUCUUGCAAAACCUGGAAGAAGGAGGAACAGAUGACCAAGAUGGGAGCCCAUCAGAUGGCUGUGGAGCAAAGCAGUUGUCAGUGCAAGGAUUUUUUCAGUGGGUUUCAGGCCAG